AGAGUUUGAUCAUGGCUCAGGACGAACGCUGGCGGCGUGCCUAACACAUGUAAGUCGUACGGGACCGGGGGCAACUCCGGUUCAGUGGCAGACGGGUGCGUAACACGUGAGAAACUUGUCCGACGGCGGGGGGUAGCCGGCCCAACGGCCGGGUAAUACCGCGUACGAUCCUUCGGGGGCAUCCCUGGAGGAUGAAAGCAGCCGCAAGGUUGCGCCGACGGAGAGUCUCGCGGCCUAUCAGCUAGUUGGCGGGGUAACGGCCCACCAAGGCGACGACGGGUAGCUGGUCUGAGAGGAUGAUCAGCCACAUUGGGACUGAGACACGGCCCAGACUCCUACGGGAGGCAGCAGUGGGGAAUAUUGCGCAAUGGCCGCAAGGCUGACGCAGCGACGCCGCGUGUGGGAUGACGGCCUUCGGGUUGUAAACCACUGUCAGGGGGAACGAAUACCGGGCGUCGAAUAGGCGACCCGGGGUGACGGUACCUCCAAAGGAAGCACCGGCUAACUCCGUGCCAGCAGCCGCGGUAAUACGGAGGGUGCGAGCGUUGUCCGGAAUCACUGGGCGUAAAGGGCGCGUAGGUGGCUCAUUAAGUGGCUGGUGAAAUCCCGGGGCUCAACUCCGGGGCUGCCAGUCAGACUGGUGGGCUCGAGCACGGUAGAGGCAGAUGGAAUUCCCGGUGUAGCGGUGGAAUGCGUAGAGAUCGGGAAGAAUACCAGUGGCGAAGGCGUUCUGCUGGACCGUUGCUGACACUGAGGCGCGACAGCGUGGGGAGCAAACAGGAUUAGAUACCCUAGUAGUCC
rnacentral:rRNA from 1 species